rnacentral:rRNA from 1 species
UACGGAGGGUGCGAGCGUUGUCCGGAAUCAUUGGGCGUAAAGGGCGCGUAGGUGGCUUCUUAAGCGUGCGGUGAAAGCCUGGGGCUCAACCCCGGGUCGGCCGUGCGAACUGGGGGGCUGGAGCACUGUAGAGGCAGGCGGAAUUCCGGGUGUAGCGGUGGAAUGCGUAGAGAUCCGGAAGAACACCGGUGGCGAAGGCGGCCCGCUGGGCAACUGCUGACACUGAUGCGCGACAGCGUGGGGAGCAAACAGG